rnacentral:lncRNA from 1 species
GACAUUUUAGCAAAAUCCAGUGUCAGGUUUGCUUAAUUUGGCCACACUGCUUCUACCUGUUAUCAUCGUUUUAAUCAGAAAUUACAGGCACCUAUAACUGCUGAUUAUCAUGGCAAUCCUCAAGGUCUUUCACAAGGAUAUCAAGGUUAUUUUUCUCAAACUGCUUCUACCUGUUAUCAUCGUUUUAAUCAGCAAUUUCACGCACCUAUAACUGUGGAUUAUCAUGGCAAUCCCUCAAGGUUUUUCACAAGGAUAUCAAUGUUAUUUUUCUCAAGCACGUUCUCCAUCUCAUGGCUUUCAAACUCACUGGAAUUAUCUCCAAACCUAGC